UGGGAGGUAAAUUUCUCCUAAGGCUAAAUAUCGGCGAGAGACCGAUAGCGAACAAGUACCGUGAGGGAAAGAUGAAAAGAACUUUGAAAAGAGAGUAAAAUAGUACGUGAAAUUGUUGAAAGGGAAACGAUUGAAGUCAGUCGUACCGACGAGAAAUCAACUUAUCGCGUGCGAACUUGUGGGCGUGCGUGAGUUUCGGCCUCGCUGUUUGCAUGUUUGUGCGUUUUGGGUGUACUUUUUCGUAUGGUAGGCCAACAUCAGUUUCGAUUACUAUAAAAUGACCGGCGGAAUGUAGCUUCGAUUUCGGUUGAAGUGUUAUAGCCUCUGGUAGAUGUGGUGGUUGGGACUGAGGAUUGCAACGAAUAUCCUUUGGGCUAUCCGUCUGAUCUCUGAAAGUUGCUCAGGUGCCGAAAGCGUGCUUACGGUCAUCUAAGUUGACGGUCAAUAGGUUAGAACGUGAUUACAUUCGUUAAGGAUGUUGGCGUAAUGGCUUUAAACGACCCGUCUUGAAACACGGACCAAGGAGUCUGACAUAUAUGCGAGUGUUCGGGUGUUCAAACCCCUACGCGUAACGAAAGUAAUUUUGGUGGGAUCACUUUUGUGUGCACCAUCGACC
rnacentral:rRNA from 1 species